CGGGUGAGUAAUGUAUAGUUAAUCUGCCCCAUAGUGGAGGACAACAGUUAGAAAUGACUGCUAAUACUCCAUACUCCUUCUUAUCAUAAGUUAAGUCGGGAAAGUUUUUCGCUAUGGGAUGAGACUAUAUCGUAUCAGCUAGUUGGUAAGGUAAUGGCUUACCAAGGCUAUGACGCGUAACUGGUCUGAGAGGAUGAUCAGUCACAUUGGAACUGAGACACGGUCCAAACUCCUACGGGAGGCAGCAGCU
rnacentral:rRNA from 1 species